rnacentral:rRNA from 1 species
UACGUAGGGUGCAAGCGUUAAUCGGAAUACUGGGCGUAAAGCGUGCGCAGGCGGUUUUGUAAGUCUGUCGUGAAAUCCCCGGGCUCAACCUGGGAAUUGCGAUGGAGACUGCAAGGCUAGAAUCUGGCAGAGGGGGGUAGAAUUCCACGUGUAGCAGUGAAAUGCGUAGAUAUGUGGAGGAACACCGAUGGCGCAAGGCAGCCCCCUGGGUCAAAACUGACGCUCAUGCACGAAAGCGUGGGGAGCAAACGAGG